UUAGAAGUGACCUGUGUCUUGAUAUGCCAAAAUCCAGGAAAUAAGAAGCACAACAAAGAAUAAUAAGACUAGGGUCUGACUGUGAUACUUCCCUACAUUUCCUUAUUUCUGGACCAAAUGAAACUAAUAACAUAACAGCAUUUUAUUCUCUUCUCCAAGUUGAAUCCUGACUUUUCUCUCAAGACAGGAAGAUUAAAUUGAAAUACCAUGUAGCCUGCUCGAGA
rnacentral:lncRNA from 12 species